rnacentral:misc_RNA from 1 species
ACAAAAAUAAGCAUGCAAAUUUCAAGUUAAAAAAACUAUGUGAAACACUUCAAAUAUAUAAUCUGGCACUGGUUUUCUACACAUAAAAUUGAUCAUAAUGAAUAAUAAUUACCUGUAUCUGUACAAAAAACAAAUAACUAUACCUUCUGCACCUACUAUUAUGCAAUCAGUUUCAAUUUGCAUUCUUACCACAGGUAAAUUAUCACUAAAGUCAACCCACAAAAAGGGGAAAAAUCUAUCAUAGGAGUUAGUUUACCCACUUUUUGUUCUCAAGAAGUAGUCGCCAACACUCAAAAAUAAAUGUUCUCCCAAUACCACAUUGACAGAAGGCUGCUUUUCAAUGCCAUCAACUGUUAUCUUGCCAUUGUUGAGUUGAAAUUCUGAUCUCAAAUUAGAAUGAUCCCUAGAUAACAGGUAAGUCUCCAGACCUUGUGCAAAUUUUGUAUUUCCAGCAUAUAAUGCGAGGAUAGCAUCUGAUUUGAACACUAAAGCAGCUCUAGCCAAGUAAAUAGUGAAAGAUAAUUCAUAAAUCUGAUGGUAACUCUCCUCCCCA